UGCAUACUCCCUCCGUCCCAAAAUUCUUAUCUUAGAUUUGUCUAGAUACGGAUGUAUCUAACACUAAAACGUAACUAGAUACAUCAGUAUGUAGACAAAUCUAAGACAAGAAUUUUGGGACGGAAGGAGUACAUA
rfam:Triticum aestivum genome assembly, contig: Triticum_aestivum_CS42_TGACv1_scaffold_404271_5BL